rnacentral:rRNA from 1 species
GGGACGUGCGGGGGGCCUUAACAUGCAAGUUCGAACGAUGAACCGCUUUCGGGCGGGGAUUAGUGGCGAACGGGUGAGUAACACGUGGGCAAUCUGCCCUGCACUCUGGGACAAGCCCUGGAAACGGGGUCUAAUACCGGAUAUGACCGUCUGCCGCAUGGUGGAUGGUGUAAAGCUCCGGCGGUGCAGGAUGAGCCCGCGGCCUAUCAGCUUGUUGGUGAGGUAGUGGCUCACCAAGGCGACGACGGGUAGCCGGCCUGAGAGGGCGACCGGCCACACUGGGACUGAGACACGGCCCAGACUCCUACGGGAGGCAGCAGUGGGGAAUAUUGCACAAUGGGCGAAAGCCUGAUGCAGCGACGCCGCGUGAGGGAUGACGGCCUUCGGGUUGUAAACCUCUUUCAGCAGGGAAGAAGCGAAAGUGACGGUACCUGCAGAAGAAGCGCCGGCUAACUACGUGCCAGCAGCCGCGGUAAUACGUAGGGCGCAAGCGUUGUCCGGAAUUAUUGGGCGUAAAGAGCUCGUAGGCGGCUUGUCACGUCGGUUGUGAAAGCCCGGGGCUUAACCCCGGGUCUGCAGUCGAUACGGGCAGGCUAGAGUUCGGUAGGGGAGAUCGGAAUUCCUGGUGUAGCGGUGAAAUGCGCAGAUAUCAGGAGGAACACCGGUGGCGAAGGCGGAUCUCUGGGCCGAUACUGACGCUGAGGAGCGAAAGCGUGGGGAGCAAACAGAAACCCAGAA